rnacentral:rRNA from 1 species
AUACGUAGGGGGCGAGCGUUGUCCGGAAUGAUUGGGCGUAAAGGGCGCGUAGGCGGCCCGGUAAGUCUGGAGUGAAAGUCCUGUUUUUAAGAUGGGAAUUGCUUUGGAUACUGUCGGGCUUGAGUGCAGGAGAGGUAAGUGGAAUUCCCAGUGUAGCGGUGAAAUGCGUAGAGAUUGGGAGGAACACCAGUGGCGAAGGCGACUUACUGGACUGUAACUGACGCUGAGGCGCGAAAGUGUGGGGAGCGAACAGGAUUAGAUACCCUGGUAGUCCACGCGGUAAACGAUGAAUGCUAGGUGUUGCGGGUAUCGACCCCUGCAGUGCCGGAGUCAACACAAUAAGCAUUCCGCCUGGGGAGUACGGCCGCAAGGUUGAAACUCAAAGGAAUUGACGGGG